rnacentral:rRNA from 1 species
GAUGAACGCUGGCGGCGUGCUUAAUACAUGCAAGUCGAACGAAGAGUCUUUGUAGCAAUACGAGGACUUCUUAGUGGCGAACGGGUGCGUAACGCGUUGGUGACCUGCCCCGAAGUGUGGGAUAACAGUUCGAAAGGACUGCUAAUACCGCAUGUGGUCUUCCGGAUCAGAUGCCGGAUUUCUAAAGCAGUAAUGCGCUUCGGGAGGGACCUGCGUCCCAUCAGCUAGUUGGUGAGGUAAUGGCCCACCAAGGCUACGACGGGUAGGGGACCUGAGAGGGUGGUCCCCCACACGGGCACUGAAACACGGGCCAGACACCUACGGGUGGCAGCAGUAGGGAAUAUUGGGCAAUGGGCGAAAGCCUGACCCAGCAACGCCGCGUGAGUGAUGAAGGCCUUCGGGUCGUAAAGCUCUGUGGGGAGGGACGAACGAACGGGUGAAGAACCCGGAAUGACGGUACCUCCUUAGCAAGCACCGGCUAACUUCGUGCCAGC